GUGGCCGUGCAGUCCCACCGGGCGUCCGCGUCCAACAGGGCGUUUUCACCGAACCGGUCGCCGUCGGCGAGUACGGCGACGGCGACCUCGUCGCCGUACUUGCCGACGGAGGUCCGGCUGAUGCGGCCGUGGGCGAUCAGAUGGAUCUGCUCGGCGGGCGUACCGCGCUCGACCAGCACUUCGCCGGCGUGGAAGUCGCGCUGAACGCACCGGCCGGCGAUCGCGGUCAGCACCUCCACGUCCUCGAAGCCGCGCAGCAGGGCCAGUUCGCCGAGCUCGCGGGGGAUCACCCGGACGUCGGCACCAUCCUGAACGAACUCGAUGCGCCCGUCGCCGACCGUGUAGCUCAGCCGACGGUUCACCCGGUAGGUGCCGCCCUUGGCCUCCACCCAGGGGAGCGUCCGCAGCAGCCAGCGAGAGGUGAUCCCCUGCAUCUGCGGGGCGGACUUCGUCGUGGUGGCGAGGUUACGGGCAGCCGCCGUACUCAGACUGGACUGCCGAGACGGCUCCGG
rnacentral:antisense_RNA from 1 species